UACAGAGGGGGCGAGCGUUGUUCGGAAUUACUGGGCGUAAAGGGCGCGUAGGCGGCCUGCUAAGUCGGACGUGAAAUCCCUCGGCUCAACCGGGGAACUGCGUCCGAUACUGGUUGGCUUGAAUUCGGGAGAGGGAUGCGGAAUUCCUGGUGUAGCGGUGAAAUGCGCAGAUAUCAGGAGGAACACCAAUGGCGAAGGCAGCUCGCUGGAACGGUACUGACGCUGAGGCGCGAAAGCGUGGGGAGCAAACAGG
rnacentral:rRNA from 1 species